rnacentral:rRNA from 1 species
UGGGGAGUAUUGCACAAUGGGGGGAACCCUGAUGCAGCGACGCCGCGUGCGGGAUAACGGCCUUCGGGUUGUAAACCGCUUUCAGUAGGGAAGAAGCGAAGGUGACGGUACCUGCAGAAGAAGUACCGGCUAACUACGUGCCAGCAGCCGCGGUAAUACGUAGGGUACAAGCGUUGUCCGGAAUUAUUGGGCGUAAAGAGCUCGUAGGUGGUUGGUCGCGUCUGCUGUGGAAACGCAACGCUUAACGUUGCGCGUGCAGUGGGUACGGGCUGACUAGAGUGCAGUAGGGGAGUCUGGAAUUCCUGGUGUAGCGGUGAAAUGCGCAGAUAUCAGGAGGAACACCGGUGGCGAAGGCGGGACUCUGGGCUGUAACUGACGCUGAGGAGCGAAAGCAUGGGGAGCGAACAGGAUUAGAUACCCUGGUAGUCCAUGCCGUAAACGUUGGGAACUAGGUGUGGGGUCCAUUCCACGGAUUCCGUGCCGGAGCUAACGCAUUAAGUUCCCCGCCUGGGGAGUACGGCCGCAAGGCUA